GUGAGGAAUCUUGGACAAUGGGCGAAAGCCUGAUCCAGCCAUGCCGCGUGAAUGAUGAAGGCCUUAGGGUUGUAAAAUUCUUUCAGCAGGGAAGAUAAUGACGGUACCUGCAGAAGAAGCCCCGGCUAACUCCGUGCCAGCAGCCGCGGUAAUACGGAGGGGGCUAGCGUUGUUCGGAAUUACUGGGCGUAAAGCGCUCGUAGGCGGAUUGGUCAGUCAGAGGUGAAAUCCCGGAGCUCAACUCCGGAACUGCCUUUGAUACUGCCAGUCUUGAGUUCGGGAGAGGUGAGCGGAAUACCGAGUGUAGAGGUGAAAUUCGUAGAUAUUCGGUGGAACACCAGAGGCGAAGGCGGCUCACUGGACCGAUACUGACGCUGAGGAGCGAAAGCGUGGGGAGCAAACAGGAUUAGAAACCCGAGUAGUCC
rnacentral:rRNA from 1 species